GUACUGUACUGUACUGUACUAUACUGUACUGUACUGUGCUGUCCUACUCUGUACUAUUCUCUUCUGUGGAGUUUUUUUUCUUUCUUGUUUAAGAUGUCAUAGAAUGUUAAUGUACAAUGCAACAAAUCACUUGUAAUAUUUUCAAUUAUUUAUAGCAAUCAUCCCCCUGUGUGCAGGAGAGCCUUGAGGACGUACAGGUCACCUUCUCUGAGGAUGGGACACACAGACCUCAGGUUCCCAGACACACAGAGAUUCCACUCUAUCCACCAGGUCGAAUACUCUACUGCUUCCCAAAGUUGCCUGAAGAUGAGAGGCUUGAUGGCAGCACUGGAGAGUGGGAGUUCACUUGGGGUGAGAUGAAGGGGUUCUCUCAGAUCCUAAUAUCUCCCUUCAUGCUGCGUCAUCACCUCCCUCAGAUCGUCUUGGCCGCCCUCGAGGACGCUGCCGUGCAAGCUUCUGAUCCGAGCUAAUACGUGGAGAUAUGAACAUAGAUAGUAUUAUUAAUUUACUUUUAUUCAGGAAAUAACUGUAAAGGCAUAUACAGGUAUAUGCUAUGUAUUACUGCACACUUGUUCCUCAUAUAUUGUCCUUUAUAACUAUAAUUUUCUGACUCAUGUCUUUAUCCGGGCAGCUUCUCAUAAUACAGGCUGUCAAUUCGGGCAGUCAUCGUCCUCAGAGAACCUACAAUUAUUCAGACUGGGUGGGUAGUUGUCCUCUAUAAAUACUGAAGUCUUGUUAGUAGCACUGCCUCACCAAGCAGCACAGUCCAUGCCAAAAACUAUGGCCCUUCCAUUUUCUUCAAGCUAGUCUGCUAUCUUUGAGUCAGUUCCUAGCCAAACUCCAUUGAAAGUGUAUUGUAUCUCAGACUAACUCUCCCCUAGUCUGCUGUCUUU